GGGUGUUCGCCGCCAUAUUCGGAGGUGGGCAGGUUCUUACGCUGGUCGGGCCGCCAGCG
rnacentral:ncRNA from 1 species